AACAUGUGGCAUAAUGCACCCAAUGGUAAAAAGAAAUGGGCCAAACUAGGAGUCCAGAGGGAAGCCCCAGUCUUGGGUUCCCCCAAAAACUCGUAUAGCGUUGGCCCAGAGACACAAAGGACAAUGGCUUCUGCCCUCAGAGACACUGAGCCUUCCUCACAUCGCCAUGAUGUCAGUUACACAGUAGGUAAUGUAUGAACUGUGUGGUCCCCACUCACCCUUAACACUGAGAAUCUAAAGUGACCCUUGGCAUACAGGGAACACGGACUGUGCCCAGCCAGGACUGACCUCUUCAGGCCUCCGAUUCUGGCUCAGAGCAGCAGAGACCAAUUUCGUCAAGGCCUUCGUCUGGACAAGGGCUCACGCGACGCUACCCAGCCUGCGUGGCCCGCCCGGACCGUGAACGGACAGUCCUCCCGGCUGCCUCUGGACACUACUCGGCCGCAAGGGUUCUCGCCAGAGUCCUGCCCUCAACCAUAAUGAAUGGAGGAAUGAACACGGCCGAGGUCCUGGCUUCUCGCUCAGCCUCGUCUCUGCCAGUGUGUCCUGGGCCAGAGGCGGAGCCCCAGCCCCAUCCCCUUCAACCGGAGGGACCUCAGAAUUGUUGGUGUUUCCACGGGCCCCCUCCGGGACAAUGACUUUUGCUCAGCUGGUCCCCUGAAGCAUCCCCUCCAAUCUUCGUGAUGUCUGUUUCAAAGUACAUAAUGCUGGACUUGGCUGCCCCCCCCCUCUAUUGACCAAGAAAGUUCUAGAGGAUGGCAUUCCGCGCAUCUCUACCAGACCUCGCCGGUUGCCCUUCGCGGAUGGCCACAGGAGCGGAAAACCCCACCCGAUGCUCCGCUUGCUUCCGGGGGGCUCAUUCAGGUGCCCGUCUUCCCUCUCCCAGCAUCUGGGAUCCCCCUUUCCCCUGCUUCUUCCUUAGUGGAAAGGCAGGCUGGAGGACAUCCCCUGAAAUGCUCCCAGCCUAUGGCAAGAGAAGGUAGGAGGCCAAAACCAGUUUCUGAGCCACAGGCAGACCCACGUCAUCUUCUCAAUGAAGAACUUGGAAUUGAUGGUGUUAACAUGAGGUCCUGCAGGACAGUGCCCUCUGCCCACUGGGGCUUCCAGCCAUGCCCAGAAGGCUCCAUGAUGUCAGCUGCAAAACAGUCAACAAUCACAUGUACCCACCCCUAAACACUGAGACCCUAAAGUGACUCUUGUAAUCCAAGAGAUGAGUUUUGGCCCCAAUCUAGGCCAAUAUCCUUCGACUUUCCCCUGAGUCCCCUGAACAGACUUCGACGAGGGCUUUCUCUUGAUCAGCUCUCCCCAGAUCCUCACAACCUCCAGGACCCUCCUUUUGAAAGCGGAGCCCAUUGUCCUGGUUCUCUCCCCUCUUGAUUGUUACUUACAGUGGAGACUUGUUCGGACACUUUUCGAAACAAUCAUAAUUAGGUAAUCCCUGAUGACCUCAGUAUAAAAAAUGGGUCACAGCUUGUGCAGGGGCCUGGUGCACCUGUGUGUGUGGUCUUGGGGUGAUGACAUGGAUGCCAGGCACACAGGGGAAUGUGCCCCUCCACCCUCCACAUUUUCUUCUGUCCUCAUUUUCCAUUUCAUUUUUCUCCUGUUUUAUAUGGAAAUUCUCCUAUAAUUACUAAAGUCUCUUGUAGCUCCCUGUGCCUGAUCAGGGGAUCCUGGCAUGGAGGUAGACUUUAUGACAAAUAAGAAAAGCAAAUGAAGAGGCAGAUGCCGCCACCUUCUAUCACCCCCCACUGAAAAUAUCGAAACAUUUGGCCGGUGCGGAUAUUAGAGACAAAGCAGGGCACCUUGUACCCUGGGUGAAAGGGACGUGGGUGCCCAUUGGGUGGGGACUUGUCUGCGUAGCUGCAGGGCCAGCAAGACUGCCAGAGGAAAAAGCAUCUUACAAUAUAGGGAAUCUGUAUGUGUCAUUUCCUUCUGGAUCUAGGAUUCCUGGCACUCUACUAAACGCCAAAUCCCAUUGCCAUCAUUUGGGACUAACAUUGAACACUUGAAAACGUAGAUAAGAUGAAGAAAAACAAGAGUUCAUGGCUUUCUUUCAUUUGUCUCUCUCCAGAGUGUCUUCCAUGUACAGACUGGUUCGCGCUCACCCUUAACCCUGAGUGAAUGAAUUGAAGUGGUGUACUCGGACGCGGACUGUGCCCAGGCAGGACUGACCUCUUUAGGCCUCUGAUUCUGGCUCAGAGCAGCAGAGACCAAUUUCCUCAAGGCCUUCCUCUGGACAAGGGCUCAUGGGACCCAACCAAGUCUUCAUAGCCCGCCCAGACUGUGGUGAGACAGUCCUCCUGGCUGCUUCCGACCUGUACGCAGCGGGGCACGUCCCCCAUGCCCACGUACCCCCACAUGCCACUAUGUUUCUCACUAGAGUCCUGCAAUCAUCAGGAUGAGAGUUUGAAAGCAGACUAGUGUCUGGAUUGUCACUCAGUAUCCUGUCUCUGCCAGGUAAGGAUUCAGGGAGUCUGGCCUCUGGGAUUCCCCCAACCCCCCAGGUAGGAUCUAUGAGGGAGUCCUGACCAGGCCUUGGGAACAGGAGGUAGGAGCCUGGCUCGUGAUCUUCAAAUGAGGAUGUGUGGACACUUACUCUCUCCCUCCUGCUUCCUGAUCCAUUAUCCCACCCAGACCAGAAUGGAAAACCACUGCUCUGUUCAAUCCCUUCCUCAUUUUGAAUGAGGUGCAGGAGGGGUGACUUUGGCCCUUUCUUGGUAGCCCUCCAUGUCUGUCAUUUGCUUCCUGUGAGGGGUUUUUGCUCUGCUGAUUACCCUUCCCAGAACUGUUGCCAGAAGAACGAGAUUCCUUGUCUUCAUCCUCAGUGCUGAGCUCCCAUUAAAGGUUCAGCUGUGGAUUAUCCUUGUGGUCACCCUGGCACCUAAACACAGGAAGAUCCUGGGUGGCGACUGAGGGGGGGAAGACCAACCUGGCCGUAUGCUUAGAGACGGAGCCCCUGGCUUUAUUUCGAAGAAAAAACUCCUUUGGCCCUGGUAGCAGGGGAACUUUUCUGUUCCUGUGGGCAGCUGUGGCCUGGGGAAGUGAGAGGGGCGAUGUGCCCCUGCUGCAGUGGCACUUUCUCUCUGUGAUCAUCAUACAUGAAUGAUUGCUGGUGUCUUUGAUGGAAAUUCUCCCCAACUGCUACCAAAAGACUAGCAGUUUGUGGUUUCUUCCCAUUCUUAUGUGUUCUGCUGGGAAGUAGGAAGCGCCCCUCAUCAUCGGCUGACCUGCAUACGUUUCCUUAUACAGAGUGAUCUCUUGGCAAUAAUAAAGCAUUUCUCUUUC
rnacentral:lncRNA from 1 species